AAUAUAAAUACACUACAGCGAAGGGAGCAGAGACUGUGAAAAGGCAUGGCAGCACUACACACAAAACGGAAAAUUACAAACAAUGACCACUCAAUGUCGAGCUUUCAAAACGUCAAGGAGGAUUCAUGCUGAAGUUAUGCUUCUUUAUAUAAUAGUGUGCCAGUAUGGGUGCAGUGAGGGGGUGGCAGAGACAGCGGCUGGCUCCAACAUCACGGUGAAAGUGGGGGACAGCAUCAAGUUUCCUUUCUCAGCUGAGGGCAACCAAAGCUACACCACUGACCUACUUUUUAAUUAUAUAUUUACAAUUGUUACAUGGAUUCCUCCACAAUUCAUUCAUGUACGAGAACAAUAUAAGGGAAGGGUCAGCAUUGGCAAUCACUCGAUAUGGCUGAACAAUUCAAGACUAUCAGAUUCUGGCUUUUAUCAAGUUAAAACUAAGUACGGAUCUGGAGGUUUUAAGCCACCGGAGUACAAAUACUUUCAUCUGCAGGUUUUUGAGCCCGUCUCUAAACCCAACAUCACAGCUGAGUGCCUGGGGAGUAAUGUCAGUCUGAGUUGCUUCAGCACUCAGGGGACUGAAGUGACUUACAGCUGGGAAACUCUGCCCCCUUGUGGUAAUGACAGCUGUGUGCACCUGGGCCAAGCGAUAUGCCUCCAGUUACAAGGCUUUUCUCCAUCCACAACCUACGCUUGUACAGCCCAUAACCCUGUCAGCAGAGCCACCAGCAAUUCUGUUGAUCUGGAAAUGUGCUUCCCGCAACGAUCACAAGUUAGAUGGGUUCCAGCCCUGUGUGCCACAUCAGCAUUCCUCGUCUUCGGAGGACUAAUACUGCUGUACAAGAGGAUAAAGUAAACACUACAAAAGUGAAACAAUUCAAGUUGAAGUUGACAAGCCAGUCAUGGAAGAGGAGCCACCGUCUUCAAGGCCUUCUAUUGAUCCAGUAUCUGUCUAUUAUAUGGACCAGAAAAAAGCUAAAUGGUUCACAUUGCAAAGAGCAAUGUGUUGCCCUGUUGAAAUGAAACGGUAACAGUAACAGUGACGGAGUGUAGCACAG